AUGUUCCCCCAAACCCCAUGUUCCCCAAAACCCCAUGUUACCCAAACCCCAUGUUACCCAAAAUCCAAUUUUCCCACACCACAUGUUACCCCAAACCCCAUGUUACCCCAAACCCCAUGUUACCCAAACCUCAUGUUUUUUCAAAACCCCAUGUUACCAAAACCCCAUGUUACUCGAAACCCCAUAUUACCCAAAACCCCAUGUUACCCAAAACCCCAUGUUACCCAUAACCCCAUGUUACCCCAAAACCCCAUGUUACCCAAACCUCAUGUUUUUUCAAAACCCCAUGUUACCAAAACCCCAUGUUACCAAAACCCCAUGUUACUCAAAACCCCAUGUUACCCAAAACCCCAUGUUACCCAUAACCCCAUGUUACCCCAAAACCCCAUGUUACCAAAACCCCAUGUUACCCAAACCUCAUGUUAUCCAAAACCCCAUGUUACCCAAAUUCCCAUGUUACCCCCAUGUUACCAAAACACCAUGUUACUAAAACCCCAUGUUACCCCCAUGUUCCCAAAACCCCAUGUUACUAAAACCCAUGUUACCCCCAUGUUACCAAAACACCAUGUUACUAAACCCCAUGUUACCAAAACCCCAUGUUACCAAAACCCCAUGUUACCCAAAACACCAUGUUACCCAAUCCCCAUGUUACCCAAACCACCAUGUUACCCAAAACACCAUGAUACCCAAACCCCAUGUUACCCAGAACCCCAUGUUACUAAAACCCCAUGUUACCAAAACCCCAUGUUACCAAAACACCAUGUUACCCAAAACACCAUGUUACCCAAAACACCAUGUUACCCAAAACACCAUGUUACCAAAAACCCCAUGUUACCCAAAACACCAUGUUACCCAAAUUCCCAUGUUACCCAAAACACCAUGUUACCCAAAACACCAUGUUACCAAAAACCCCAUGUUACCCAAAACACCAUGUUACCCAAAUUCCCAUGUUACCCAAAACACCAUGUUACCCAAUCCCCAUGUUACCCAAAACACCAUGUUACCCAAUCCCCAUGUUACCCAAAACACCAUGUUACCCAAAACACCAUGAUACCCAAACCCCAUGUUACCCAGAACCCCAUGUUACUAAAAACCCAUGUUACCCCAAACCCCAUGUUACCCAAAACCCCAUGUUACCAAAACCCCAUGUUACCCAAAACCCAUGUUACCCAAAACCCAUGUUACCCAAAACCCCAUGUUCCCAAAACCCCUUGUUACCCAAAACCCCAUGUUACCCAAACCCCAUGUUUCUCUGGUGGUAAAAAACAAACUAAAUGA
rnacentral:lncRNA from 1 species